UGGCUCAGAACGAACGCUGGCGGCGUGCUUAACACAUGCAAGUCGAGCGGAAAGGCCCUUCGGGGUACUCGAGCGGCGAACGGGUGAGUAACACGUGAGCAACCUGCCCUUGGCUUUGGGAUAACCCUCGGAAACGGGGGCUAAUACUGGAUAUGACAUCUGAUCGCAUGGUUGGGUGUGGAAAGUUUUUCGGCCAGGGAUGGGCUCGCGGCCUAUCAGCUUGUUGGUGGGGUGAUGGCCUACCAAGGCGAGGACAAGUAGCCGGCCUGAGAGGGCGACCGGCCACACUGGGACUGAGACACGGCCCAGGAACAUACGGGAGGCAGC
rnacentral:rRNA from 1 species